rnacentral:tRNA from 1 species
GGAGACAUAGCUCAGUGGUAGAGUACUUGCCUAGCAUGCAUGAGGACCUGAGUUCAAUCCUCAGUACUGCCA